AGUGAACGCUGGCGGCGUGCCUAAUACAUGCAAGUCGAACGGAGUGGCGCACGGGUGAGUAAUGUAUAGCUAAUCUGCCUUACAACAGAGGACACCAGUUGGACACGACGGCUAAUACUCUAUAGUGUAGGAUGAGGCUAUAUUGUAUGAGCUAGGUGGUGAGGUAAUGGCUCCACAAGGCUAUGACGAAUAAGUGGACUGAGAGAAUGAUCAGUCACACUGGAACUUGGACACUGUCCAGACUCCUACGGGAUGCAGCAGUAGGGAAUAUUGCUCAGUGGGGGAAACCCUGAAGCAGCACCGCCGCGUGGAGGAUGACACUUUUCGGAGCGUAAACUCCUUGUGUAAGUGAAGCGGUACCUAACGAAUAAGCACCGGCUAACUACGUGCCAGCAGCCGCGGUAAUAC
rnacentral:rRNA from 1 species